CACACACACAUACAGCACACACACAUACAGCACACACACAUACAGCACACACACAUACAGCACGGGUUAAAAGGCAGAAAGCGCUGGUUCAAAAUCCAAACGAGUCCAUGUCAGUUUAAUUAGACCUCUGCCAUUUGCCAGGGUCAGAGAGUAAGAGAGGCUAACAGUCAACCAGCUAGACUCAGUCAGAGUGUUAUCCAAGCAGGAAGUCUACUAGAACUCUACAGGAGGAGGGGUACGGCUGGUGGGCUGGCUGGAGGUGGAACUCUACAGGAGGAGGGGUACGGCUGGUGGGCUGGCUGGAGGUGGAACUCUACAGGAGGAGGGGUACGGCUGGUGGGCUGGCUGGAGGUGGAACUCUACAGGAGGAGGGGUAUGGCUGGUGGGCUGGCUGGAG
ensembl:lncRNA